GGGUGGUGUUGUUACACCUACACUCCCUGCUUUUACAUUCACAUUCAAUCAGCCCAACUAUCGUCAGCCUAGUCACUGAUAACCUCCACUUAGAUGGAGAUAAAAGGACCAGACGUUGUGUGCGUGCAUUACGGUGUCUGUAACCACACCCCGUCUCCUGUUGAGGUGCUUUCCUGAUUUGCCGGCCCUGUAUUCCUAGCCUUCCCUCUGACGCUCGCCUUCGGUAUGUCCUUGUCCCUGCAUGUUCAGUGAGGAACCGUAAUUCGCCGCUGACCUCGUCGUUCCUGUGAUAACUGUCUGAUAACUGCCUGAUCACAAAGGUGCUGCUGUUUUGUUUAAACCUGACAAUGCGUGUAUGAUUCAGCAUGCUCGUGACUCUGCUAAACUGUUGUUGUGCAUGUUGGUCUGACCUAUAUCUGACCUGGGUUUUCGUUUUCUUUGUCGUGUUCUUUUUGUCUGGGCAUUGUACCAUCUUGUCAACUCCAAUGGAGUAAUGCUUCUGUCUAGUGUGUUUUCUGUCUGCAUGUGACUGGGGAUAAGGCUGGUGGCGCUGUAGCUGUCCUGGUGCAUGCUUGUUGUUUGUUCUGGUCUGUAGUUAGUCCCUAUGCAUGAUUGCUAUUACUGUCUGAGUGAUUCGUGAUUAGGAUGGACUGUUGAUAUCCCCUGGUGCAAUAAUUGUUCAUUUUAUUUGUUAAGCAGUUGCUAGGUGCUUCCAGAGGGAGGCUAGGCACCUGGUGGUGGGCCCCUGUCACUGCAUGCGGGUGUAUCAAGCUGGUUAGUGUGCUGUGGGUGUGCCGUGAUUGUGCUGUGUGUGCAGUGUGCUGUGGGUUGCUUGCCGUGUCAUAGUUCACCUUAUAACCACUUCUUUGAGUGUGUGUGCACGUGUGAGCGGUGUGGAUCCAAGAGCACGCCGUCUGCUAGUCUGCCUCCCUCAGGUAAGUCCUACUUAGCACUGCCUAGACUCUAGUCUACUAGUUUCCCUGUUUUAGCCUUACUGACAAAUGAUAUUCAAUAAAUAUAUGUUUGUAUCUUGCUAACUUGUCAGUCUCGUUGCAGGUUAUUUCAUGAUCCACCUCUUCACUCCCACUCUCCCUUCCCUCAGUUAUUAAUAAACAUUCUUGAACUGGAAUCCCGUCUGUCGCUUCGUGCAUUUCGAACCUGUUUUUGCCUUGGUGUAUAAACUGAAAUUACUAGUAUAAUAAACAGCAUACUGACAAUUACUUUGAAGUAUUCCCUGGGGCUUACUGGUGUAAGUUUUCCCUGGGGUGGCGUAGUCGGACUAAUUUGGGGUAUAACCAUCUUCCCCUC